AACGAACGCUGGCGGCAGGCCUAACACAUGCAAGUCGAGCGGACCUUUCGGGGUCAGCGGCGGACGGGUGAGUAACGCGUGGGAAUAUGCCCUUCUCUACGGAAUAGUCCUGGGAAACUGGGGGUAAUACCGUAUACGUCCUUUGGGGGAAAGAUUUAUCGGGGAAGGAUUAGCCCGCGUUGGAUUAGGUAGUUGGUGGGGUAAUGGCCUACCAAGCCGACGAUCCAUAGCUGGUUUGAGAGGAUGAUCAGCCACACUGGGACUGAGACACGGCCCAGACUCCUACGGGAGGCAGCAGUGGGGAAUCUUAGACAAUGGGGGCAACCCUGAUCUAGCCAUGCCGCGUGAGUGAUGAAGGCCUUAGGGUUGUAAAGCUCUUUCAGCUGGGAAGAUAAUGACGGUACCAGCAGAAGAAGCCCCGGCUAACUCCGUG
rnacentral:rRNA from 1 species